UCCAUGACAACACAUCCGGCUGCCUUGGU
rnacentral:piRNA from 1 species